UUAUGAUGACUAGCAAAAUGGCAACUGCCAGCAGGAUGGUUCAGGUACUUAAAUUACAUACUCCAUUAAUAAGGUUCCCUGACAGAGAGACCAUUCUAAGCCCAAUACAUCAGAAGCUUUGAGAUCAGCAGGACUAUUAUCUCACUCCUCUUCAAUUUCACAGAUUCUAAGAAAAGCAAAUCACCAGCUUUGCUUACACAUCAGGGUCUGCCAGACACUGCAGAAAUAAUAAAAACACUACCUCAGAAGAAAUUUAUGUCUCAAGAAGAAAUCAAAUUUAUCCAAUGUGGACUGCUGU
rnacentral:lncRNA from 1 species